CAGACUUGCCCAAUCCGGAGCCAGGAUCGCGAGUAGGAGGGCGGGUCCUCGCGGAGAGGGGCGGGGUCCGGAGUGACAAGACUCUCGCCUGGUCCGGUUCUUUGGUCUCUGGUGCUAGCACCGGUGACAAUUGGAGGUCCCACCGAGAUCCUGGAAAGCAGAGGCAUCCUGAUGGACUGCUCUUAACAAUUGUGGCCACAAGACAAGAAGGAGCACAUUUGGGUUGACAGUGCCGAAUCAAAACCUCAAGAUCUGGCAUAAAGGCAUGUGUCAUCCCACCUCAAGAUCUGGAUCAAAAGCCUGUGUCAUCAAGCCUCAAGAUCCAGAUCAAAAGCAUGUUGUCUUCCAGCUUCAAGAUCUGG
rnacentral:lncRNA from 1 species